rnacentral:rRNA from 1 species
UACGGAGGGUGCAAGCGUUGUCCGGAAUCACUGGGCGUAAAGGGCGCGUAGGCGGCUCAUGAAGGCUGUGGUGAAAGUCCGGGGCUCAACCUCGGAUCGGCCGUGGCGACUCGUGGGCUGGAGCACUGUAGAGGCGGGUGGAAUUCCGGGUGUAGCGGUGGAAUGCGUAGAUAUCAGGAGGAACACCUGUGGCGAAAGCGGCGCACUGGACCACAACUGACGCUGAGGCGCGAAAGCUAGGGGAGCAAACAGG